UCUCAGUUGACUUGUGGCAGAAGUACAAUAGUUCCCAGGUCCUUGAGUCACAUCCUUUUAGUAAUUUAGGUCUCCUUUGUGUAGAAGUACUUGUAAAAUGCCACUCCAAAAAUAUUUGUAAUAUUUUAACAGUCUUAAUAUUUAAUAUGUAUCACCCUACUCCAUCAGUUCUUGUCAUUGGUCAAGGAAAGCCUGAUAUAAAAACCAGAUAAAGGUCUAAACCAUCAUUCAGCCUCAUCUUAUAGUCUAAUAGUGGAAAUAAGAUAAAUUAUAACUGCCAAGAUCAUCACUUUUCAGAGCAUAGUAAAUAAGGAUAAAAGCAAGUUACUGUAGGUGUCCAGCCUCCAGAAAAUCUUAUUUCCCCCGCUCCUCUCAGUCCAGAAUACCUCUGAUUCUUCUAGAUGAAACCCAGUUUAAAUGCCCGAUGAACAGGUUGAUAAACAUCUGCCUGAGCAGGGACUGCUUCAACAGAGAAGAGAGGUUGCUGCUGUGAGAGCCCGCCGCUUCAGAAUACAUUCACCAGUGAGCAUAACAUACAGCUGCAGAGCAGGAUCAUUCAAUGGUAGAGGGAAAGCACACAGCUGCAGAAGGAUAACAGCAAGGUAUUAGAAAAGCCCAGCAUGGAGAAAACAUUGGCAUGUUCAAGGAAAUUAUCCUGACUAAAAGAACAGAGGCAUCAGCAAAAGAUUCCAACUUAUACAGAUAUCUUCAAUCAAUCCUUUCCACAAAUCAUUGCAAAAAAGAAUCAGAAGAAUGCAUUAAUAAAUUACUGGACUACACUGCACAAAGGGGUGAAGUACACAUCCCAGGGCAGUCAUAACUGUUGGCUAUAUCCCGUUCUGGACAGUUUCAAGGCCUUAGCCCUUUUUGAAGGAAAAUAGUCUGACCUCCACAUUGUAACUGUAUAUCCUGACUCAGUUGUAUUUGUAAUACUGGAAAGUCUUUACAGUGAUACAGUGAAGACUUUACCACCUAGAGAUGGCUCUCAGUCAGUACAGUAGUGAAAUACAACUGAAAAAGCUAUUUUUCUCAUUUUCGCUGGAAGCCAAUGAGUUUUAAUAAUUGUGAAAUACCAAAAUCAAGUACUAGGCAUAACACUGAUUACUUGUUUUUCAGGAUAAUUUAGCCUACUCAAUUGUUUCAUCCUAGCUUUUCAACGCUGGCAGUAGAGUAAAAGGAAUCUAUUUGGAUAAAACAACAACAGAGUUGAACUGAACUUGUUUGCAGCAUUGUUGUAGCCAUCCUGGGACAAGCAUAUUGGUGGGACAAAAUAAUAUAUUUCAUUAGUGAACGAGACAAGCUUUUGAACUACGCAGAACA